rnacentral:rRNA from 1 species
GAUGAACGCUGGCGGCGUGCCUAAUACAUGCAAGUCGAGCGAACGGACGAGAAGCUUGCUUCUCUGAUGUUAGCGGCGGACGGGUGAGUAACACGUGGAUAACCUACCUAUAAGACUGGGAUAACUUCGGGAAACCGGAGCUAAUACCGGAUAAUAUUUUGAACCGCAUGGUUCAAAAGUGAAAGACGGUCUUGCUGUCACUUAUAGAUGGAUCCGCGCUGCAUUAGCUAGUUGGUAAGGUAACGGCUUACCAAGGCAACGAUGCAUAGCCGACCUGAGAGGGUGAUCGGCCACACUGGAACUGAGACACGGUCCAGACUCCUACGGGAGGCAGCAGUAGGGAAUCUUCCGCAAUGGGCGAAAGCCUGACGGAGCAACGCCGCGUGAGUGAUGAAGGUCUUCGGAUCGUAAAACUCUGUUAUUAGGGAAGAACAUAUGUGUAAGUAACUGUGCACAUCUUGACGGUACCUAAUCAGAAAGCCACGGCUAACUACGUGCCAGCAGCCGCGGUAAUACGUAGGUGGCAAGCGUUAUCCGGAAUUAUUGGGCGUAAAGCGCGCGUAGGCGGUUUUUUAAGUCUGAUGUGAAAGCCCACGGCUCAACCGUGGAGGGUCAUUGGAAACUGGAAAACUUGAGUGCAGAAGAGGAAAGUGGAAUUCCAUGUGUAGCGGUGAAAUGCGCAGAGAUAUGGAGGAACACCAGUGGCGAAGGCGACUUUCUGGUCUGUAACUGACGCUGAUGUGCGAAAGCGUGGGGAUCAAACAGGAUUAGAUACCCUGGUAGUCCACGCCGUAAACGAUGAGUGCUAAGUGUUAGGGGGUUUCCGCCCCUUAGUGCUGCAGCUAACGCAUUAAGCACUCCGCCUGGGGAGUACGACCGCAAGGUUGAAACUCAAAGGAAUUGAUGGGGACCCGCACAAGCGGUGGAGCAUGUGGUUUAAUUCGAAGCAACGCGAAGAACCUUACCAAAUCUUGACAUCCUUUGACAACUCUAGAGAUAGAGCCUUCCCCUUCGGGGGACAAAGUGACAGGUGGUGCGUGGUUGUCGUCAGCUCGUGUCGUGAGAUGUUGGGUUAAGUCCCGCAACGAGCGCAACCCUUAAGCUUAGUUGCCAUCAUUAAGUUGGGCACUCUAAGUUGACUGCCGGUGACAAACCGGAGGAAGGUGGGGAUGACGUCAAAUCAUCAUGCCCCUUAUGAUUUGGGCUACACACGUGCUACAAUGGACAAUACAAAGGGCAGCGAAACCGCGAGGUCAAGCAAAUCCCAUAAAGUUGUUCUCAGUUCGGAUUGUAGUCUGCAACUCGACUACAUGAAGCUGGAAUCGCUAGUAAUCGUAGAUCAGCAUGCUACGGUGAAUACGUUCCCGGGUCU